GCUUCAUUGGUCCAAUGGUUAGGAUUCCACCCUUCCAGACUCCAAAAGAGUCAAGUAAGGUGGAGGUUCGUGUUCGAUUCACGGAUGUUGCA